AGAAGAAAUCGGAGAGGACGGAGAAGA
rnacentral:sRNA from 1 species